GAAAUAUGUUUUUUAUAUUGCCACUAAACUUAAUCAUAUAAAUGAUAUGUUUUUCACCAAUUUUCCAAUACUCUAACUUGUGUUUUCCUCUUAAAUGAUGUAGUGGUCAUUGGGUUCUUGUGGUGGUCGAUCUACAAUUAGGUUUAGCUUAUGAGUUUGACUCUAUGAAGCUACCUAAAGAAAAUCCACGAAAAUUGAAAAUUGUCGAGAUUAUGAUGACGGCUUAUAAAGUAUAUCGGGCGAAUCUCACAGGGAGUGAAUUGAAAUCACAAAGGCAAAAAUUGAAAUUCAUACAAAUGGAGUGUGCUCAACAACAAGGAGGAGUUGAAUGUGGA